ACAGACCUUCCUCCUCCUGGAACAUCCAAGGGCACUGGAUCCUCUGUGUCCCUCUGAGAUGGGGUGCCACUCCAGCAAGAGCACCACGGUGGCAGCUGAGUCCCAGAAGCUUGAAGAAGAGCGCGAGGGAAGAGAGCCAGGUCUGGAGACCGGCACCCAGGCAGCAGACUGCAAGGAUGCCCCGCUGAAGGAUGGAACCCCUGAGCCAAAGAGCUGAAAUGCCUCUCUCCAGAGUCGGACCCUCACCUCCUUCCUGGAACUGCCUUUGGCCCCAGAACCAUGAGACAAUCCCCACCCUGAGAAGCUCCGAUCACUGGGAGGAGAGAGAAAGCCUCCAGCUUUGGGAUUCAGGCUUCAGAAGUUUUUAGCAGCCUUUGCUCAUUGGAGAGGUGGGGAGGAUAAGUCUAUAAGGAAUCCUAUUUCCCCAGCUCUCCCACAGAGAGGACAAAAGAAGUCUUCACACGUUGUGGAACUUUCCUGCAACUUCUGGAUGCAGACAAGCCUCAGAGCAGACUGUUCUGGCUCCAGUGAAUAUCGGCUGCCAAGCUGUGAGCAUCCAGGGAUCCCCGUCUGCCUGGCUUUCCUGAAGUCAGAAGGCGCCUUGGUCAUACUGUGUGGGGUGUGUGGAUCUCAGUUUGCUCUCUUUCUUUCUCCUUUUUUCAACAGCUGGCGGAGUAGCCAACACCCCUGACAGCAAUGUGUUGCACUUGGCUCACUCCACACCCUAUGAAUAAUUUUAAUAUUUAACUUGAAAUGUUGUUAAGAAACUAUGGAAAAUAUCAGGAUCCCACUGGGAUCCCGUAAAUUGAAGGCAACAAGGUCUUGGUCCUCCAGUAAGGGGGGCAUGGAGCCCUGGUGGGAAGGAAAGAAGAGAAAUUUGUGUUCCUGAUUCCUUAAUCCCCAAGAAAGGUCCCUCUGCUAACAUUCACAUAUCUCUUCCUAGCCAAAGUCUGUCCAUUUCAACCCUCUAGCAUCUGAGCUAUCUGCAUCCAGCUUUCAAAAAUAUUUCGCUGUUUACUAACAUGUCUGUCAGCCUCUCUUUUCUCCCCCGCAUGUGUUUUGUUUUUAAAUCCACUCAAAAGCGUUUUCAUUUGAAAUCAAAUAGACAUGUUUGCAAAUAAAUGUUGACACAACACAUUUGAAAGACAGAAUUGGGGAUCUGAGAUUAAGAGUAUCAGCAGAGAAGAGUGGGUGUAAUUCUGUGGAACAGGAGUGAGAACAGAGGCGAGGGAGCCGUUGCUUUGUGCCAGGCGCCAUGCUGAGGACUUUCCAUAGACGGUUUAAUGCCACCCAACUACUCCCAUUUUAUAGAUGAGGAAAUGGAGGAAAUAAAGUCACUUGCCUGAGUUUGGGCAGCCAGGAAGGAGCAGAACCCACAGUUGAGCCCCAGCAGUUUGGCUUGGGAAACGCAUGUAGAGUGCUUCUUAAAGCAGAGAGCCUUUCUCAUGAUUAAACUGAAAUACUAGUCCCUUUAUAGCCUGUGCAUAGUGAGGACCAUUUUUCUUUAUUCACUGAGACCUACCUGCCUAUUGAGAAGUAUGUAACCGGUCAGCUUGGAGUUGCCCCACUGCAGGUUGGGUGAUGCAUUGAGGGACUUUUUAUUUUUACUCUGGUGGUGGGGGACGGGGAGGGAGGAAGAGACGGAGAGGGAAAAGAGGAGGGAGGAGAGAGGGCAAGAAGAAAAAGGAGGAGGGGAAACAGAGGAAGAGAGGGAGGAGGGAAAGAAGGAGAGGGAGAGAAAGGGAAGAGGUAGGGAGAUGAAAGAGCGGGGAGAGGCAGAAUGGGAGAGGGAGAGAAGGAGAGGGGAGACGGAGGGAGGAAGGGAGAGAAAGGAGAGGGGUGAGGGAAAAGGGGUAGGGAGGAGGGAGGAAGAGAAAAAUGGGGAGAGGGUGGGCGAGAAGGAAAGGAAGAAAUCGAGGAAGUUGGAGGAAUGAGGGAUGAGGCAGGGAGGGAGAAAGGGAGGGCGAAGCAGUAAGGUGCUGCAAAGGACCCUUCUUUUUGGCCAUAAAAACCUGAGAAACUGAUUGAGAUUCUUUUGAGCAAUAAGGCAACUGCGGUGAGGAAAAAAUAAGGAAGGAGGCACAAAAAGCAAAGCAGUUCAGCCUGAAAUUGACUACAGAGCUUCCCUUUGCUUCAGCAGAGCCUGGAGGAGCAGGAGGGAUGGGGGCCCUGUCAGCUGGCCCAAAGCCCUGCCCUGUCCCAGGGGUGCUAAGCUUGCUGCAGGCCAGGAAACAGGCCUGGGCUUGCAGCUGGGGAUCAGGAAGUUUGGGGCCUCUUUGCACAGCUUACUGGGGAUAGGCCAAGCUCUGGGAACUCCUUUCAAUUUUUUUUUUUUUUAAGACAACUCUGUUUUUCUCCCUCCUCCCUACUAGUGGAAAUUUACCUUGCAAAACAGGACUGUGCAUGGUGAGAGCUGCUUGCAAUGUCCACACUCAGGACUCUAUGGAAAGAGUUCGCAGCUGGUGGUGAGGCUUUGAGGUGGGGCUGCCCUUAUUUCACUAGCUCCUGAGGGGCAGAGCUCACUCAGCUUUUUACCAAAUCAAAGGAAGGAAGCUUUAGGUCCUUCGAAGUUCAGAACCAGGGUGGUUUGUUUUGCUUCCUUUUGGAAUGGAAUAAAAUGCUCAUUUAAUUAAAUUCAAGUUCUCUGAGGGCUUUUAAAAACAGAAUUCUUCAUCUACCUCCAGCUGUGGCAGGCAUGCUGCAAUUUACUAGGAAGUUAAUCUCUAACAGAAAAAAGUACUCAGUUUCCUUUUAAGGACAUUCCCGUUAUCCACUGGAGCCUAGCAUCACUCGUCUGUCUCCCUUUGAGGUUCGAGAAUUUCUAAAGUGCCUGGUAAAAGUGGUUAGGAUUAUGUCUACUGAAAUAUAACUUUAACCUCUGGAAAAACAGGCCUGCAAAGGCCAACUUCCCAAACUGCUGGAAGAGGAGAGGUUUAUUAGUUAACGUAUCUAUCCAUCCAUCAUCCAUCCAUGCCUCCUUCCUUCCUUUCAUCCAGCCAUCUAUCCAUCCAUCUUUCCAUCCAUUAUCCAUCAUCCAUGCAUCCAUCCACCCACCCAUCUGUUCUUCAGUCCUUCCAUCUUUCUUUCCAUCUGUCCAUCCAUCCUUUCAUCCAUUAUCCAUCCAUCCAUCCACCCAUCUGUUCAUCAGUCCUUCCAUCUUUCUUUCCAUCUGUCCAUCCAUCCUUUCAUCCAUUAUCCCUCCAUCCAUCCACCUAUCUGUUCAUCAGUUCUUCCAUCUUUCCAUCCAUCCAUUCAUCUUUCCAUCCAUUCAUCUAUCCAUUUAUUCAUACAUUCAGCUCUUACCCUGGAUUUUUUAGUUACAUGAGGCAAUACAUUUUUUGCUUUUAACCAAUUGAUUCAUUCAACAAAUAUUUGUUGAGUUUCUACUCUAUCACUCAUCAUUCAUUCAUUCCUGUAUUCAUUUAUUAAUUCAGUGUUUACUGGGCAACUACUCUAUGCCAAACUCCUUAGUGUUCAUAAAAUGUUCAUAAAGUGCCAUCUUUGUGGGAGUACCGCCUGGAACAGGGUGGUCCAGGGAGAUCUUUCCAGUCUCGAUGAGACCCAAGAGCUUUCAAGAGUAAGUUGGAAUUAGACAAAGAGGAUGGUUAUUUUGGAAGCGAAUGUAUGACCUGGAGUUGGAUACAAGAACUGCAUGGGGCACAAUGUACAGUGUAAUAGGAGCCUAAGGUGCCCACGGCACAGGGACAGGGAGGUAAACCUUGACAAGUAAAAAAUCAAAUCAGGGGCUGGGCACAGUGGCUUACACCUGUAAUCCCAGCACUUUGGGAGGCCACGGUGGGUGGAUCAUGAGGUCAGGAGAUCAAGACCAUCCUGGCCAACAUGGUGAAACCCCGUCUCUACUAAAAAUACAAAAAAAAAAAUUACCUGGGUGUGGUGGUGCGUGCCUGUAAUCCCAGCUACUUUGGAGGCUGACGCACGAGAAUCGCUUGAAUCUGGGAGGCGGAGGUUGCAGUGAGCCUAGAUUGCACCAUGACCAUGCACUCUAUCCUGGCGACAGAGUGAGACUCCGUACCAAAAAAAAAGGGAUCAAAUCAUGAAGUGCCUUGUAUUUUAUACUGAGAGCUUGAGAGUUUAUCUUGAUGGGCGCAGUGGGGUGUCUUUCGGCAGAAGAAUGAUGCUAGGACGUCAGUGGCUUUUGACUGGUUAGUAUCCUGUUUUUUUAGUAACAAAUCUUAUCUUUUUCCUCAUGGGGAACCCUUUCCUCACUCUCAGUUUACAUGAUUGGGUGGGGCUGAUCCCAUUCUUCAACGUCAGCCUGAGCACUGCAUAGCCCCUGUCAAAGUGAUAGGUUCAAGGGCGGGUGUAGAAACCCAAACUAGUCCACUGAGAGUCUUCUUUGAACUUUUUUUUUUUUUUGAGAUGGAAUCUCUGUCACCCAGGCUGGAGUGCAGUAGCACAAUCUUGGCUCACUGCAACCCCUGCCUCCCAGGUUCAAGCGAUUCUUCUGCCUCAGCCUCCCAAGUAGCUGGAAUUACAGGCACCCACCACCACGCCCAGCUAAUUUUUGUAUUUUUAGUAGAGACGGGGUUUUGCCUUGUUGCCCAGGCUGCUCUUGAAUCCCUGACUUCAGGUGAUCUGCCACCUCGGCCUUCCAAAGUGCUGGGAUUACAGGCGUGAGCCACUGCGCCCAGCCUUCUUUGAACUUUUAAUUGAAGCAAUUAGGAAAGGAAAGUUCACCUUCUUUUAGAAUUAAUAAAAUUGUAGGAUUUGGCCCUGGAAACUCUUAACCACUGAGAAGGGACUGCUUGAGAAUGAAGCCACAGAGCAGAGUGGAGCAGAGUGGAGAGAAGGAGAGACAUCGUCCUGAUCAACUUGUUUGGGCAACUGGAUCCAGCCAUGCCAGAAUAAUUCUUCCCCUAGAAGAUUCACAAGCCAAUAAACUCACUCUUUUUGUUUGUUUGUUUACAGUGGUUUGAAUUUGGUUUCUGUCAUUUUCAGAGAGAUCUGAGUAAAUCAGAUCCACUUAGAUUUGUAUAUUAGGUAGAGCACCCUGGUAACUGUUUAGAGGAUGGAGUUGGGAGGGAUAAAGCUAGAAGCAUGAAUACCAAUUAGAAGGCAACCUAGGAAAAAAAAAGCAUACAAGGAGGGGCAGGUUUAAAGGGAAGAUGAGGGGUUGAGUUUUAGGGGUGUUGAGUUUGAGGUGCCCAUAGGACAAAAUGUAAAUAAUGAUUGCAAACACUUAUAUCACUCUUACCAUGUCUGAGCAUUGUUCCAAAUGCAAUACAUAUAGAACUCAUUUAAUCCUCACCAUCACACUGUGCUCAUUUUAUAGAUUAAAACACAGGGAGUUUUAAUCCAUUCACUGAUCCCAACUUGCUCCUUGGCUGUAAAUUCCCACAUUUCCUUGUUGUAUUCUGAAUUAAGCCCAAUCUCUCUCCCCUACAAUAAAACCCCGUUGUUGUACAGGGGGUGCAGGGGGGGUGUGAUGGUUAAUUUUAUGUGUCAAGACUGGGCGCAGUGGCUCACACCUGUAAUCCCAGCACUUUGGGAGGCCGAGGUGGGCGGAUCACUUGAGGUCUGGAGUUCGAGACCAGCCUGGCCAACAUGGCAAAACCUCGUCUCUACUAAAAAUACAAAAAUUGUCCAGGUGUGGUGGCACGUGCCUGUAAUUCCAGCUACUACUCGGGAGGCUGAGGCAGGAGAAUUGCUUGAAACUGGGAGGCAGAGGUUGCAGUGAGCCUAGGUCACAUCACUGCAUUCCAGCCUAGGUGACAGAGUGAGGCUCUGUCUCAAAAAAAUAAAUAGAUAAAUAAAAUUAUGUGUCAGUUUAACUUGGCUAAGGGAUGCCCAGAUAGCUGGUAAAACAUUAUUUCUGGGUGUGCCUGGGAGCGUGUUUCUGGAAGAGAUUAGCGUUUUAAUCAGUAGACUGUGUCAAGAAGACCCACUGUCGUUAAUCUAAUCUGUUGAAGGUCUGAAUACAGCAACAAGGUAGAGAAUUCUCUCUCUUUUCUUGAGCUGGGACAUCCAUCUUCUCUUGUCCUCAGACGUUGGAGCUCCUGGUUCUGGGAUUUUCAGACUCCAGGACUUAGACCAGUGGCCUCUCUGGUUCUCAUGCCUUCCGCCUCAGACUGAAUUACACCACUGGCUUUCCUGGGUCUCCAGCAUACCAAUGGCAUAACAUGGGACUUCUUGGCCUCCAUAAUAAUGUGAACCAAUUCCCAUAAUAAAUCUCCCCUUAUAUAUCUCGAUAUAUUCUGUUGGUUCUGUUUCUCUGGAGGACCCUGACUAAUAUAGGGGGUUAACUAGUUCUUCCAGCUCUCAAGGACACAGCUGGGGCUUGCACUAGGCAGUUUGCCUUUAGAGGCUGAGACUUGAGGAAUUCAUU
rnacentral:lncRNA from 1 species